rnacentral:rRNA from 1 species
UUAAAUCAUUAAAUUAAAAAUAUUUGGCGGUAUUUUAAAUAAUUAGAGGAACCUGUAUAGUAAUUGAUAAUCCACGAUAAGAUAAACUUAAUUAUUUAUGUAUUGCUGUUUAAAGAUUAUUAUUGAUUAAAUAAUUAUUUUUUUUUUUAAAAAUAAUUCAAGUCAAAAUAUAGUAUAAUUAAGUUAUGGGUUACAAUGAAAUUUUGAAAUUGGAUUUAAUAGUAA